AACGAACGCUGGCGGCAUGCCUAACACAUGCAAGUCGAACGAGACCUUCGGGUGAGUACUAGUGGCGCACGGGUGAGUAACGCGUGGAUAAUCUGCCUUAGAGUGGGGGAUAACUAGUCGAAAGAUUAGCUAAUACCGCAUAAGACCACAAGAACUGCGGUUCAAGAGGUCAAAGGAUUUUCGCUCUAAGAUGAGUCCGCGUAAGAUUAGCUAGUUGGUGAGGUAACGGCUCACCAAGGCAACGAUCUUUAACUGGUCUGAGAGGAUGAUCAGUCACACUGGAACUGAGACACGGUCCAGACUCCUACGGGAGGCAGCAGUAGGGAAUAUUGCACAAUGGAGGAAACUCUGAUGCAGCGACGCCGCGUGAGUGAUGAAGGCCUUCGGGUCGUAAAGCUCUGUCGCAGGGGAAUAACACAAUGAAUGUACCCUGUAAGAAAGGAUCGGCUAACUUCGUGCCAGCAGCCGCCGUAAGAC
rnacentral:rRNA from 1 species